AACGAACGCUGGCGGCAGGCCUAACACAUGCAAGUCGAGCGAGAUCUUCGGGUCUAGCGGCGGACGGGUGAGUAACGCGUGGGAAUAUGCCUCUUGGUACGGAAUAGCCUCGGGAAACUGGGAGUAAUACCGUAUGUGCCCUUUGGGGGAAAGAUUUAUCGCCAAGCGAUUAGCCCGCGUUGGAUUAGGUAGUUGGUGGGGUAAUGGCCUACCAAGCCGACGAUCCAUAGCUGGUUUGAGAGGAUGAUCAGCCACACUGGGACUGAGACACGGCCCAGACUCCUACGGGAGGCAGCAGUGGGGAAUCUUAGACAAUGGGGGCAACCCUGAUCUAGCCAUGCCGCGUGAGUGAUGAAGGCCUUAGGGUUGUAAAGCUCUUUCAGCUGGGAAGAUAAUGACGGUACCAGCAGAAGAAGCCCCGGCUAACUCCGUG
rnacentral:rRNA from 1 species